AUACGGAGGAUCCGAGCGUUAUCCGGAUUUAUUGGGUUUAAAGGGUGCGCAGGCGGCCAUUUAAGUCAGCGGUUAAAUCGUGGGGCUCAACCCCAUUCUGCCGUUGAUACUGGGUGGCUUGAUUGCGGUCGAGGUUGGCGGAAUUCGUUGUGUAGCGGUGAAAUGCAUAGAUAUGACGAAGAACACCGAUUGCGUAGGCAGCUGGCCAGACCGCAAAUGACGCUCAUGCACGAAAGUGCGGGGAUCGAACAGGAUUAGAUACCCUGGUAGUCCGCACAGUAAACGAUGAAUACUUGUUUUCGGCGAUAUAAUGUCGGAGGCAAAGCGAAAGCGAUAAGUAUUCCACCUGGGGAGUACGCCGGCAACGGGGAAACUCAAAGGAAUUGACGGGG
rnacentral:rRNA from 1 species